UACGGAGGGUGCAAGCGUUAUCCGGAUUUACUGGGUUUAAAGGGUGCGUAGGCGGAUUGGUAAGUCAGUGGUGAAAUCUCGCAGCUUAACUGCGAAACUGCCAUUGAUACUGCUAAUCUAGAGUACAGUUGCCGUUGGCGGAAUAUGACAUGUAGUGGUGAAAUACAUAGAUAUGUCAUAGAACACCGAUUGCGAAGGCAGCUAACGAGGCUGUAACUGACGCUGAGGCACGAAAGUGCGGGGAUCAAACAGG
rnacentral:rRNA from 1 species